rnacentral:lncRNA from 1 species
AUAAUUUUAAAUUUAAAUAAUUUCAACAAAUAAGGCAACUAAUCGAUUUGACAUUAAGCCGUUGAUUUCAUCGCUAUGUUGGGUGAAUAUACAUGAGCAAAAAAAAAACCAAGAAAAAAAUAAUAAAUAAAAUUUAAAGUCUAAUAAAAACAGUCCAAAUACAUGAGCCUAAUGUGGCCCAAACCGUUUUUAACCCAAAUUAGCCUAAACCUAUGCCCAAUAUUCUAGCCUAAACCAGAAGUCAGAAACCUUAGCAGCCUCCACACACGCCAAUUAGUACCUGUACGUGCCACGCC